AACGCACGAGACCUGCGGACCUGCGGAGGGAUCAUUACUGAGUGAGGGCCCCUCGGGGUCCAACCUCCCACCCGUGUUUAACGAACCUUUGUUGCUUCGGCGGGCCCGCCUCACGGCCGCCGGGGGGCUCCUGCCCCCGGGCCCGCGCCCGCCGAAGCCCCCCCUUGAACGCUGUCUGAAGUUUGCAGUCUGAGAAACUAGCUAAAUUAGUUAAAACUUUCAGCAACGGAUCUCUAGAUC
rnacentral:misc_RNA from 1 species